rnacentral:lncRNA from 1 species
UAUAUAUUAAAUAUAUACCAUUAUUCUAACAUGGUAUCAGAGCAAUGGAUUUUCAAACUCCUUUCUUUGAUUUUUGACUUUCUCCUAUGAUUCUUGUAUUUUUCGUAAUCGGUACUAUUUCUGUAACGAAAAAUGUUCGAAGCUAUAUGGAACACACCAUUGUGUUCUUCGUGCAAUUUUGAGUUCACCGAACCGAGGAACAUCGCCGGAAUCCUCUCCAAGCGCUUUCGCACGCGCACCAAACACUAUCCGCGCGUUAGAUCUACGCCAGCAACGGCUCCCGCGCUGUCCAAGCGCCCCUCGCCGACCACGCUCCUCCCUCGCUGUGACGUCAGCCUACGCGCGCGUGAAGCAUUCCUGUGACGUCAGCCCUAAUCUUAAGUGACGUCAGCGCACUCGGUAAUUUACAGUAUUGGCCCCUGACACCUCUGAUUCUUCAAUUUGGUCCCAGCAGUUCUGAUUUUGACAGUUUGGACCCAGAAGUUUGCCAACUCUCAUUUUCGGCUUCCAGGUUCAGGUUUUGAGUAAUUUGGGUCUUCUAAUCCGUUUUCCGCCUCGGUUUUUGCUAUUCUACUUCGUUACUGCUUUUUGUAAUUGCUAUAUUUGCACUAUUGUUGUUGGUUUUCUCUACGUUUAGAUAGUUAUGCUCUUAGAUGAUCAUUAUAGAUAAAUCUAAAGUUCUUAACCUAUAUUAUUCUCUAGACGGACCCAAUUUUAUACCAUGGUUCUCAAGCGAGUCAGUUUCUAAAAGGACGAAAACUCUGGCGUUAUGUUACUGUGAUAUUAAGGCACCGACUCCGGGUGCUGCUGAGAUGCCUACUGAGUUUCAUUGUCCGACUGGAAGAAGGAGAUAGUAAAAACCAUAGAUUAUCACGUGGAUCCGCCAAUACUUAUUCCUUCUAUUAGGUCUACAGUUUGGGCAAUUUACACUACUAUUGCCAUCUGGGAUUUUCUUAUCACCAGAUAUACUACUGCCUGAUCUGCUUGUCAGUCUCAGUGAUGAACUUCCCUGUAUGUCGCUAGAGACAGGAACCUGGGCAGUUCCUAUCAGUGCUUUCUUGCCUCAGAUAUAUGAGGCUAUAUGGGACCAGUUGGCUUUCCGCGGAGGGUCUUGAGCCCAAGUUGUUAGUGCUGGUGUUUACUUUUUUACCACUUAUCGAGAUCAGCAGCGCCUCCUUAUUCUGUUUCUUAUGGGGCUCUCUGAUAGAUAUGAGCGGUUCGAGCCUCACUCCUUCAUCCAUCCCCUUCCUAAAUUGGAGUAGGGCUAUCUAUGAGAUGUUAUUCUGAGGAGACUCGUCUAGGGCCUGGGUUUCGACUUCCCAUGUGGAACUGCUUUGCUACUCCUGGUUCUAGAGGACGUGUUCCCCUGGUGGCUCUCGCACUGUUUUUCAGCCUCUAGUUCUCAAAUCCUGGGUUCAGCUCUCGGGCCUAAUGAGUGCACAUUUUGUCAUGCAUGACCAAGCGCUGCUCCACUUGUCCUAUUUAGGGGUUUGCAAAACUAUCGCCAGCGAGGUGCCUGGCCAUUAUCGGUCCGACUGUCCCAAUAACCCUACCCGUCGAGACACUCGUCCUCAGUCUAAUGCUGACACUGCUGGGGAUCCUCUACUGCUUUCGCCUCUCCCUACACUGACGAUGUCAGUGAUCUUCCUGCCUGUUCAGCAGAUUUUGUCAGCAUUCGGGUAAUCCUUCUACUGCCUUGGCUGCCUCUACAGGUAGAUCCUUCCUGGCUUUUUGACUCUGGGUGUAGUAAUUCAUAGGACCUCUAAUUUAUCCUGUUUCUCCUCUAAAUCAUAUGAGUCUUCAUUUCCUGUUAUCAUAGUGCACUAAUGGUUCCUCUAUGGAUGUUGAUCAUGUGUGACGUAUCCACUCCGCUUUAUCUCUUCCCAAUACCUACAUACGUCCCCACUUGCGCUUAAUCUUGUUUCGUGGUUCAAUUAUGUGAUCUUGGACUUACUAUACUUUUCUCUUACACCUGGUUUGUUGUGCAGGAUCGCGGAGGGUCAGAACUCUUGGGAUAGGCCAGUUAGGCAUGGUCGCCUGUUUCAGCUCAUCAUCUUCACCUUCCUUUUUACUGACUUCGCCACGUCUACAUUCUUCUCGUCACCAUCCUGGAAUUUGGUACUCCGUUAGGUUCAUUGUGUCGUGGGUCGAUACAUUUUCUCGUAUCUCUAAGAUCUUAGGUACUACUAUUAAUGAACACCUUGAUUGUCAUGUCUUGUCAACUUGCCUAAGCAACCGCGUAUCUUUACUAAAAGCACUUUGGUCUCCUCUACGCCUUUUGCUUUAGUUCAUUCUGAUAUUUGAGGGGCCCUUCUCCCCCUUCUACUAUGGGCGGUUCCCAGUAUUUUGUUAUAUUUGUAGAUGAUUUUAACGGUCUAAUGGUUGCACUUUAAAGAAUUGGUCCCGAUUACAACAACUAUUAUGAUUUUGCUAGCUGAUCAAAAACCUAUUUUUUCCGUGAUAUCAAAGUCUUCCAGCUCAGGAACAAUGACCUCAAGAA